UGGUCGACGGAGCCAUCAGUCAAGACAGCAGCCAAGAUGGCGGCAGCUAAGGGUAAAAGAAGAUAGCUUUUCAUACAAAAAGAUGACUCAAUAACGAUACAGUCGUGGAUUUAUCUUUAUGAAAUUAUUGUGAAAAGUCACAGAAGUACCACGCCGGAUUACUAAACUUCUGGAAGGGCUACGAUUGCACUGAAGUCCUCUGGCCUUUGAAACGGCCAAGCUGAUAGCUAUCAGGCUAAAAACACAGACUAGGCUAGGUUGAAACGGUGCACUCUUCCGCUUCUAAACAAAAAAAUGAGUUUCUGGACCACAACUGAGAAGUUCCUUCACUUCAUUCAUGCCUUCUUCAUACUGUACUAACAGUAUACUCAUAGCAUUGUAUGUCAUGAUUUUUGUGCGUAAGAAAGGGAUAAAAAAAAGUAAUUGUAUAGUAUGUCGAAAAAGUGAUUAAAAAGCCAUAGUAUAGUGUGUUGAAAAAAGUGAUAAAAAGCCAUAUUAUAGUACGUUGAAAAAAGUGAUAAAAAGCCAUAGUUUAGUAUGUGGUAAAAGUGAAAAAAGUCAUAGUAUAGUAUGUCAAAAAAAGUGCAGCCAUGUUCAAGACCUGCUCGCUGCCAGUGUAUGUGCAAACACUUAGAUAGAUGUCAGCUUCAGGGACAGCUCACUGAGAUAAGCUACUAACUCAACAAUCUGCGGUUGAAGGAUCAAAUCCCACAUUUGUCUUGACAAGUUUUCAACUCUGAAAUGUGAACAAUAAAUACAACUUCCAACCAGCAUGGAGUAUCAGAUCAGAUAGCUCAGUGUGAUGGAACACUGGUUAGAAGAACACAAGGAUGUGAGUUCAAUACUCAUGAGGAGCACACCUUAUGAUGAGGCCCAACACCCAGGAAUACAAGGUCCCUCACCCAGGAGACUGGUGUUCGUGUCCCAUGUGUCAUGGAAAAGUACUUUCCAAAACCCAACUGUCUGAGUCUCCAUAAAGAUGAUGAGGACAGUUGGGAUUAGGAAAGUACUUAACCAUGACAGGUGGGACAUGAACCCUGGUCUCCUGGGUGAAAGCCCCGUGUUGUCUUUAUGACACUUAGAGAAAAAAAUUCAUGGUUGCAGUCGGCAAAAGGUAAGGUGCGCACAACCCCUUCGGGGUUGUGCGCACCUUUUAAGACAGUUGGGGAAACCCUGGUGGCAGUCGGAGUACUUUACUACUCCCUGACUGCUACCAGGAUUUCUCCAGCUGUCUAAACCCCAAUGCCGCCCCGAAGGGGCGGCAUUGGGGUUGCUGGUGAGCGCCACCCCUACGGUGGCUACCUUACCUUGUGCACAUCCUGCUGGGGCAUGCUGGACGUGAACCCGAGUCUCCUGGGUGAAGGGCUGAUGCUUAUUCGACUCUGCCACCACCUCAGCCGCCACCUCCAGCAAUUACAGUACGCAGUUAAGACGAACUUUUGGGUUUAGGAAAGAAAGAAAUUUUCUACAAACCCCAGUCAGUCAGGGUGAUUGAACCCAUGACCUGUGUUUCCUCUAAACAGUGUUCCAUCACACUGAGCUAUCUGAUCUUAUACUCUGCACUGGUUGGAAGUGUAUUUAUCGUUCACAUUUCAGAGGAGCGAGGUUGAAAAACUGUCAAGACAAAUGUGGGAUUUGAUCCUUCAACCUCAGAUUGUUGAGGCAGUAGCUGAUCUCAGUGAGCUACUCCUGAAGCUGACAUUUCAAGUUUCCAUUCUAUUAUUGGUUGUUCACACUU